rnacentral:rRNA from 1 species
AGUGAACGCUGGCGGUAGGCCUAACACAUGCAAGUCGAACGGCAGCACAGUAAGAGCUUGCUCUUACGGGUGGCGAGUGGCGGACGGGUGAGGAAUGCAUCGGAAUCUACUUUUUCGUGGGGGAUAACGUAGGGAAACUUACGCUAAUACCGAAUACGACCUACGGGUGAAAGCAGGGGAUCUUCGGACCUUGCGCGAUUGAAUGAGCCGAUGUCGGAUUAGCUAGUUGGCGGGGUAAAGGCCCACCAAGGCGACGAUCCGUAGCUGGUCUGAGAGGAUGAUCAGCCACACUGGAACUGAGACACGGUCCAGACUCCUACGGGAGGCAGCAGUGGGGAAUAUUGGACAAUGGGCGCAAGCCUGAUCCAGCCAUACCGCGUGGGUGAAGAAGGCCUUCGGGUUGUAAAGCCCUUUUGUUGGGAAAGAAAAGCAGCAGGUUAAUACCCCGCUGUUCUGACGGUACCCAAAGAAUAAGCACCGGCUAACUUCGUG